rnacentral:lncRNA from 10 species
CACAUGCACAGGCACACUUCAGCCUCCAAGAACCCUGAAGGAUUUGCACUUCCCUGAGCAAGACUGUUCUCACACAUGUAACCUUGUGUCUUUGAAGGAAAAAUGCUGUCAUCCUGGAAUGCCCUCCCUUCCUAGUCUGCCGGAACAAGCCUCCUCAUCCUUAGGGGUUCAGCCAUUCCAGAUUCCAGAUUUCUCUCUAGAGACACAGGCAUGUCUUCCCUGGAGCAACCAUUUCACUGGUAGUGACGGGGUUUCGCCCUAUUAGCCAGGAUGGUCUCAAUCUCCUGACCUCGUGAUCCACCUGCCUCAGCCUCCUGAAGUGCUGGGAUUACAGGCGUGAGCCACUGCGCCCGGACGAGAGAACUUUUAUCAUCCCUGUGCGAUUGGAGCUUUGGUUUCGUGGAGGAGAGAGACAGUCAAUAAACUGGCAAACAAAGAAAUAGAGAAUAUACUUUGGCAAAUAGUGAUUAUCUUGGGCAGAGGAUUAUGGGGAAUUUCACACAUUCCAAGUCACACAUUUCUGUAAUAUUAGAAAUUUUACAAGCAUACACUGAGCAGGGA